rnacentral:rRNA from 2 species
AGAGUUUGAUCCUGGCUCAGGAUGAACGCUAGCGGCAGGCUUAACACAUGCAAGUCGAGGGGCAGCAUAAUGGAUAGCAAUAUCUAUGGUGGCGACCGGCGCACGGGUGCGUAACGCGUAUGCAACCUACCUUUAACAGGGGGAUAACACUGAGAAAUUGGUACUAAUACCCCAUAAUAUCAUAGAAGGCAUCUUUUAUGGUUGAAAAUUCCGAUGGUUAGAGAUGGGCAUGCGUUGUAUUAGCUAGUUGGUGGGGUAACGGCUCACCAAGGCGACGAUACAUAGGGGGACUGAGAGGUUAACCCCCCACACUGGUACUGAGACACGGACCAGACUCCUACGGGAGGCAGCAGUGAGGAAUAUUGGUCAAUGGACGCAAGUCUGAACCAGCCAUGCCGCGUGCAGGAUGACGGCUCUAUGAGUUGUAAACUGCUUUUGUACGAGGGUAAACGCAGAUACGUGUAUCUGUCUGAAAGUAUCGUACGAAUAAGGAUCGGCUAACUCCGUGCCAGCAGCCGCGGUAAUACGGAGGAUUCAAGCGUUAUCCGGAUUUAUUGGGUUUAAAGGGUGCGUAGGCGGUUUGAUAAGUUAGAGGUGAAAUUUCGGGGCUCAACCCUGAACGUGCCUCUAAUACUGUUGAGCUAGAGAGUAGUUGCGGUAGGCGGAAUGUAUGGUGUAGCGGUGAAAUGCUUAGAGAUCAUACAGAACACCGAUUGCGAAGGCAGCUUACCAAACUAUAUCUGACGUUGAGGCACGAAAGCGUGGGGAGCAAACAGGAUUAGAUACCCUGGUAGUCCACGCAGUAAACGAUGAUAACUCGUUGUCGGCGAUACACAGUCGGUGACUAAGCGAAAGCGAUAAGUUAUCCACCUGGGGAGUACGUUCGCAAGAAUGAAACUCAAAGGAAUUGACGGG